rnacentral:rRNA from 1 species
UACGAAGGGGACUAGCGUUGUUCGGAAUUACUGGGCGUAAAGCGCGUGUAGGCGGCUUUGCAAGUCGGGUGUGAAAGCCCUCGGCUCAACCGAGGAAGUGCGCCCGAAACUGCAGAGCUUGAGUGCCGGAGAGGAUGGCGGAAUUCCCCAAGUAGAGGUGAAAUUCGUAGAUAUGGGGAGGAACACCGGUGGCGAAGGCGGCCAUCUGGACGGUAACUGACGCUGAGACGCGAAAGCGUGGGGAGCAAACAGG